AGGCCACUGCUAUCGGAGUUCGAUUAAGCCAUGCGAGUCGAGAGGUGUAAGACCUCGGCAUACUGCUCAGUAACACGUGGACAACCUACCCUGAAGAGGGGGAUAACCCCGGGGAACUGGGGAUAAUACCCCAUAGACUAUGGAUGCUGGAAUGCUUUGUAGUUGAAAGGUCCGCCGCUUCAGGAUGGGUCUGCGGCCGAUUAGGUUGUUGUUGGGGUAACGGCCCAACAAGCCUGUAAUCGGUACGGGUUGUGGGAGCAAGAGCCCGGAGAUGGAUUCUGAGACACGAAUCCAGGCCCUACGGGGCGCAGCAGGCGCGAAAACUUUACAAUGCGAGCAAUCGUGAUAAGGGAACUCCGAGUGCCUGUAAAAUCAGGCUGUCCGCCAGUGUAAAUAACUGGUGAAGAAAGGGCCGGGCAAGACCGGUGCCAGCCGCCGCGGUAAUACCGGCGGCUCGAGUGGUGGCCACUAUUACUGGGCUUAAAGCGUUCGUAGCUGGUCUGUUAAGUCUCUGGGGAAAUCUUCCGGCUUAACCGGAAGGCGUCUCAGGGAUACUGGCAGACUAGGACCGGAAGAGGUGAGAGGUACUCCAGGGGUAGGAGUGAAAUCCUGUAAUCCUUGGGGGACCACCUGUGGCGAAGGCGUCUCACCAGGACGGCUCCGACAGUGAGGAACGAAAGCUGGGGGAGCAAACCGGAUUAGAUACCCGGGUAGUCCCAGCUGUAAACGAUGCGCGUUAGGUGUAUCGGUGACCACGAGUCGCCGAGGUGCCGAAGAGAAAUCGUGAAACGCGCCGCCUGGGAAGUACGGUCGCAAGGCUGAAACUUAA
rnacentral:rRNA from 1 species